UACGUAGGGGGCAAGCGUUGUUCGGAAUCAUUGGGCGUAAAGAGCGUGUAGGCGGCCCGGUAAGUCCGCUGUGAAAGUCCAGGGCUCAACCCUGGGAUGCCGGUGGAUACUGUCGGGCUCGAGUCCGGAAGAGGAGUGUGGAAUUCCUGGUGUAGCGGUGAAAUGCGCAGAUAUCAGGAGGAACACCGGUGGCGAAGGCGGCAUCCUGGACCGACACUGACGCUGAUGAGCGAAAGCCAGGGGAGCAAACGGG
rnacentral:rRNA from 1 species